ensembl:lncRNA
CCUGGGGCAGCUCCCUGCAGGCUUCAAGAGCCUCAGUGCCCUCAGGUCCCCAUUCCGGUGGUGCAGAGCUGGGCUCACAGCUGGGAUCCCUUCUGCCACCCCGGGGACAUUCCGUCCUUCUCCGUGCCUCAGUUUCCCCACCUAUAACACAGCUCAGGACCUGCAAACGGCAAAGCAGAGCUCAGCAGAGCAGAGCUCAGAGCUCAGCAUCACUGGAUGGAGGAACCCAUGGUUGGAUCGUUUAAGUAGGAAAGGAGGGCAUUUAAAUACAGGAAAAAAAAAACAAUGGAAUGUGAAAAGAGAAGCAAAACAACCCCCAAAUUGCAUCCAAAGAGGGAAGAGCUGUUUCCAGCCCCGAAGUUGUUUUAGAAGAAGGAUGAUGGGGAUCUGUGGCCAGAUCAGAGCUUUGCAGCACAUGCACAUCCUCAUACAUGCAGGGAGAAGUGCAAGAAUGAAGAGUACCCAGUACAUAUAAAACCAUCCUUGCAAAGCUGCAAUACCCACAGGUGCAGUGCAGGGAGCUGCAAGCUGCAAGAGGAGAAUUGCUUGUUGAUUUUGUGGCCAUUAUAAAUUCAUGUAAAAUUCAGAGGUUUUGAGCCAGGGGACAGCAGAGGAGGAGAGGGGAGGAAAAGCACUGAAAGCUGAACAGUGCCAUUUGGGUGCUUUAUUCCCCCCCCAAAAUAAAACCCCUUUUCCUAUGGUGAA